GUUGAAAGUAUUAGAGGCCAACUUCAAAGGACUCAAGUCUUUCACCGAAUACAGGAUAGAGGUUUUGGGGUUUAAUUAUUAUGGAGACGGUCCCAUUGGGGCAGUGGAGUUGUUCACAGCGGAGAGAGAUGUCGACGAGUGCAGUUUCCGUCCAACACCCUGUCCAUAUGGAGAAGCUUGCAUAAAUGGCGAAGGAUCCUUCCUCUGUUUGAAUACAACUAAUGACAUAGAUGGUUCCUCAUGCGUCUUUAGAUCUCAUGCGAAAAUACUUAACAUAGACAAGAAUGUGAACACCACAACAAAGUUGACAAAAUUGACCCAAUACCGGUUCAACGCAGAAGUGAGCACCGAU